rnacentral:rRNA from 1 species
AUUGAACGCUGGCGGCAGGCCUAACACAUGCAAGUCGAACGGUAACAGGAAGCAGCUUGCUGCUUUGCUGACGAGUGGCGGACGGGUGAGUAAUGUCUGGGAAACUGCUCGAUGGCGGGGGAUAACUACUGGAAACGGUAGCUAAUACCGCAUAACGUCGCAAGACCAAAGAGGGGGACCUUAGGGCCUCUUGCCAUCGGAUGUGCCCAGAUGGGAUUAGCUAGUAGGUGGGGUAACGGCUCACCUAGGCGACGAUCCCUAGCUGGUCUGAGAGGAUGACCAGCCACACUGGAACUGAGACACGGUCCAGACUCCUACGGGAGGCAGCAGUGGGGAAUAUUGCACAAUGGGCGCAAGCCUGAUGCAGCCAUGCCGCGUGUAUGAAGAAGGCCUUCGGGUUGUAAAGUACUUUCAGCGGGGAGGAAGGGAGUAAAGUUAAUACCUUUGCUCAUUGACGUUACCCGCAGAAGAAGCAACGGCUAACUCCGUG